GAAAAGGAGGAGGAGGAGGGGAAAAAAGGACCAGAAAGAAAGAAAGAAGAAGAAGAAAGAGGAGGAGGAGGAGGAGGAAGAAGAAGAAGAAAAGAAGGAGGAGGAGGAGGAAGAGACAGAUAGAAGAAAGAGGAGGAGGAGGACAGAAGAGGAAGAAGAGAGGAGAGGAGGAGAGAGAAGAGGAGAGAAAAGAAUGCUAAGGGAGAGAGCAAGAGACUCAGAGAAGACACAGAAAGACAAGGGCUGAACCUCUUGGGGUGGGGGUGAGGGGGCGGAGGAGCAGGCGGGGACCAGGAGGCCUCUUUUCCCUCUCAGCAGCCCCGGCCCCAGGCCCGCCCCGGCCCUCUGGCUUCAGCUCUGGCCCCUCCGGCAGCCGGCGGACAGUGGGUUAAGGAUUGGGUGAUGUGGGAACUUCCGGAUAUGAUCACAGAGAGAGAGAGGAGGGAGACAGAGGGAGACAGACACACACACACAGAGGCAGACAGCUGAGCAUCCACUCAGCUGCUUACCAGCCCCCACAUCAGGGACCCAGGGGCCCAGCCCAGCCCAGCCCCUUGCCAGUGGUCUCCCCACACCGGUCCCUUCCUCUCGGCUUCCCUCCCUCUCUCCCUCCUUCCCUCUCUGAUCUUUCUUUCUUUCAUUCUUCCUGUCUCUGCCUGAAUCUUUCUCUUUCCCUGUCUCUCACUGGAUUCCCUGAGACUCCAGUUCUGGGGUGCUGUAGGGCGACUGGGGCUCAGGAGAGCCUUUUCUCCCCCAUCCUGGGGUCCAGACCCACCCUCCAACUCUCUCCAGCAGCCCAGGAUGCCCCUGGGGCCAGGGCACUGACCCCGGGGAGCUGGCCAGGAAACUGUGCUCUGGUGUCCUCAUGACAGAACACUACGCCCACCACUGAGCAGAAAGAGGGGGCCCUGGGCUGGGGGCCGAAAAUUACUCGCCCUCCAGCCCAGCCCCCCCGAUCUGGGGGGACAGACAUUGGGCCUGCCUGACGUACUCUGGGGGCCCAGGCACGAAGUAGUAGGGAUGCAUGUCCCCAGUCAGCCAGUACCACUGAGAGCUUACCCUUCCUUCCUCCCCAUCAGUCUCCAUUCCCCGGCUCUCCAGCUCUUGUUCCCGCUCUGAUCCCCUCUUCCGAUCUCCAUCCCUCGUUCUCUCUAUCCCUCUUUUCUUCCAUCUGUUCCUAAUUUCUGCUUCUCCAACUCUUGCCUAUCUCUACCCCUAUCAUUCCCUUCUCCAUUCCCGUCCCCUCUCCCACUGUUCCCCCUUCCUUCUAUCCCUCAUUCUAAUGUUCCCCCACCUCUAGCUUUCCCUCUCCUCCCUAUCCCUCUCUCUCCCAUCCCUGUCUCUCUAGCUCUCUCUUUCAUCUGUCCUCUCUCCUUCUUUUCUCCAUCUCACUCUCCACCUCCUAUCACCCGCUGAAAUGUUGCCCCAUCUUCCCAUCUAUCAUCCUUCUGACUCACUAUCCUUCCAUCUCCAGCUAAUUUCAUGCCAUAUUUAUUCCCUAAUCCUCCAUCCCUGAAUACUUCCCCCCUUUUUUCCAUCCUUC
rnacentral:lncRNA from 1 species